rnacentral:rRNA from 1 species
UGGGGAAUUUUGGACAAUGGGGGAAACCCUGAUCCAGCCAUCCCGCGUGUGCGAUGAAGGCCUUCGGGUUGUAAAGCACUUUUGGCAGGAAAGAAACGUCAUGGGUUAAUACCCCGUGAAACUGACGGUACCUGCAGAAUAAGCACCGGCUAACUACGUGCCAGAAGCCGCGGUAAUACGUAGGGUGCAAGCGUUAAUCGGAAUUACUGGGCGUAAAGCGUGCGCAGGCGGUUCGGAAAGAAAGAUGUGAAAUCCCAGAGCUCAACUUUGGAACUGCAUUUUUAACUACCGGGCUAGAUGGUGUCAGAGGGAGGUGGAAUUCCGCGUGUAGCAGUGAAAUGCGUAGAUAUGCGGAGGAACACCGAUGGCGAAGGCAGCCUCCUGGGAUAACACUGACGCUAAUGCUCGAAAGCGUGGGGAGCAAACAGG